UAGAACAACAUCAUAACAGGGGGACCAUCUUCACCACAACUCAGUCUGAGGAGCUAGCAUCUUCUUCACCUUCAGAUCCAGAACUGCCACUAGAUUUAUCUUGAGAUUCAUACCUCUCACUUGAGGUGUAGGCAUCUGUUUCCUUGGCUUCACCAACAUUAUCCAUAUCUCCAUGCUCCAAGCUAUUAAUUAGAACCUCUAAAGCUUCUUUCCUAUCCUUAGCCACCCUAAU
rnacentral:lncRNA from 1 species